rnacentral:rRNA from 1 species
AUUGAACGCUGGCGGCAGGCCUAACACAUGCAAGUCGAGCGGAGCGGCGGACGGGUGAGUAAUGCCUAGGAAUCUGACUUGUAGUGGGGGAUAACGUCCGGAAACGGGCGCUAAUACCGCAUACUCUCAGAUGAGCCUGGGUCGGAUUAGGUAGGUGGUGGGGUAAAGGCCUACCAAGGCGAAGAUCCGUAACUGGUCUGAGAGGAUGAUCAGUCACAAUGGAACUGAGACACGGUCCAGACUCCUACGGGAGGCAGAAGUGGGGAAUAUUGGACAAUGGGCGAAAGCCGGAUCCAGCCAUGCCGCGUGUGUGAAGAAGGUCUGCGGAUGGUAAAGCACGUUAAGUUGGGAGGCGGUACCAACAGAGUAAGCGACGGCUAACUUCGUGCCAGCAGCCGCGGUAAUAC